rnacentral:rRNA from 1 species
UACGUAGGGUGCGAGCGUUGUCCGGAAUUAUUGGGCGUAAGGAGCUCUAGGCGGUUUGUCGCGUCGACUGUGAAAACUGGGGGCUUAACUCUCAGCUUGCAGUUGAUACGGGCAGACUUGAGUUCGGUAGGGGAGACUGGAAUUCCUGGUGUAGCGGUGAAAUGCGCAGAUAUCAGGAGGAACACCGGUGGCGAAGGCGGGUCUCUGGGCCGAUACUGACGCUGAGGAGCGAAAGCGUGGGAGCGAACAGG